UUGGAUCCGAAAUACCUAGCUAGUGUUCAUCUUAUCAAAGGUGUAUGAUCAUUUGUUAUAGUCAUGAAGGCUGAUCUUAAUGAUCUAUACAUUCAGUUUUCCGAUUUAAUUUCAUAUAAGGCUUCAAGAAUUAUCAUAUAAAAAAACCUUGAUGAUGCAAAGGAUUUCAGGUUUUUGAUUCUGUGGCAAUAGAUGGUUAUUUCUGGUCUAGAUACUAAUGCAACAUAAUUAGCAAGAACCUCACUGUAUUUGUAGUAAUGGAACGACAUUCGAGUCAAUUUAAACCAGUGUGCAUGGCGGAUAUUUUACAUUAAUCACUAUCUAACAGUACUUAUAUUCAGUCUUUUCAUCCGCAGUGUAAUUUAUUGAGAAGAAUUGAAGAAAGCGCCAUGGAUACUAUCUCACAUAUCCCUCCAGGUUUCAGAUUCCAUCCUACUGAUGAAGAACUUGUUGAAUACUACCUCAAGAACAAAAUUUCUUCCAAAAGAAUGGAUCUGGAUGUCAUCAAAGACGUCGAUCUCUAUAGAAUUGAGCCAUGGGAUCUUGAAGAACUUUGCAAGCUGGGGACUGAGGACCAAAAAGAUUGGUAUUUUUUCAGUCAUAAAGACAAGAAGUAUCCAACUGGAACUCGCACAAAUAGAGCUACCAAACAAGGGUUUUGGAAAGCUACUGGAAGAGACAAGGCAAUAUACUCAAAGCAUAGUCUAGCUGGGAUGAGGAAGACAUUGGUGUUUUACAAAGGCCGUGCCCCAAAUGGACAUAAAUCAGACUGGAUAAUGCACGAGUAUCGACUAGAAACUGAUGAAAACGGACAACCUCAGGUAAGUGAAGAUAAAAACCAAUUAAGCAUUUUUUUUUUUUACAUAUAUAAGCUUCUAAUGAUUCAAUAAUUAUCUUGUACCUAGUUUAUAAAAUUUUGCUAACAAUAUUGUCUUUCAGGAAGAGGGAUGGGUUGUGUGUAGGGUUUUUAAGAAAAGAUUAACAACGGUGAGGAAAAUGGACGAGCAUGAGCCACUGUCUAACUGGUAUGAUGACCAAAUCCGGUUGCUGCCUGACUUUGAAUCACGAAGGCAGAUAACUGAUAAUCCUUAUACACCAUUCCAUAAUGAUCAGAACUAUACUUGUAAACAAGAGCUUGGUCAGUUGCAGCAUUUUCGUUCCCAUGAACGAUAUCUGCAACCUCCUCAGUUAGAAGGACAGGAAGUCCUGCAUUCUGCAGCAAGUGUGAGCUUCAGUUCAGGAGUUCCAUAUGGAUUUGAGCAGUCCUUAAUGCUCACACAAGAAGAUUAUAAAUUGCAGCAUUGCAGUCAAUUGACUGAUUAGCAAGUACUUGACAACUUUGUUGCUUCUCAACUCGGUCAAGAUAAUCAAGACACUGAUGGUAAUAAAACAAGAUGUUCAAAUGAUCAAGUGUUGGAACAGAUAAACAUGCUAUGCAAUGAUUUGAGGAUGCCAGAUCAUGUAGCUUCAGCCGAGAGCACCUCCAUGUCCACCUUAAGUUGUCAAAGUGAUGUAUGGAAGUAAGAAUAUAAUUCCUUCAUUAUCUGCAGUACCUAGUUCCUUUAUGUCUGCAGUGUAGUCAUCAAAAUUAGAAAAC